ACCCCAGGUCAGGCGGGGCUACCCGCUGAGUUU
rnacentral:rRNA from 1 species